CAGGCACCCAACCCAAGAACUGCCGCUACUGCAGUGGUGUUUAAACAGUGGUGCACACAGCAAAGUGCUUUGUUGCCUUUGGGAGGCUGGACAGUGCCCCCCAGAGCGAAUCAGGAAGUUCUACAGUU
ensembl:snoRNA LOC120097214 small nucleolar RNA SNORA68